GCCGGCGGGUUGAGCGCGCUGCCCUAUAUCCCGGCUACUUGGGAGGCUGAGGUGGGAGGAUUGCUUAAGCCCAAGAGUUCUGGGCUGUAGUGCCCUCUGCCGAUUGGGUGUCUGCACUAAGUUCAGCAUCAAUAUGGUGACCUCCCAGGAGCAGGGGACCACCAGGUUGCCUAAGGAGGGGUGAACCAGCCCAGGUCGGAAACGGAGCAGGUGAAAAGCUAUUCACAGGGGCUGAUCAGUAGUGGGAUCGCACCUGUGAAUAGCCACUGCACUCCAGCCUGGGCAACAUAGCGAGACCCUGUCUCU
rnacentral:SRP_RNA from 1 species